AACAAUAGCUGUAUCCUUGAAUGAGAGCUAGCUGAUCCCUAAGACAGUUUGCCCUCUAUUAGUGCCAUAUUCUAGAGCCAGAUUUGUAUAGGCGCCUAUUGCAAUUUAUAAUACAGAACUCUCCUUUAAAUAUUUCAUGUGGCAUUAAGAAAAAUCAUAAUAGGCUUCGGAGAGUCAACAGGAAAGCCGCACAAUGAACUUGGAAGUAAAAAAAAAGAAUUCUCUCAACAAUGACAAAAGCGACCCCCUGAGUUGACUGCAGGAACAGUCAUUUCCAGGCAGAGACAGGAUUAACAUAUUCAUGAACUAAAUGGCUGUUGAAACUGCGGAUUUUAAGGGAGACGAUAAGCAAAAGCUUGAACCAUCUCGCGUCCACAAUGAAUAUCAUCAAGAAGAGGAGGCGGGGGGAUACAUUCGGAAUAAGAAUUAAAAAAAAUGUCCUGGCUUUUUUUUUUUGGAAGGAUAUCAAUUUUCAAGAUUUAAGAGCCUAAUACGUUCAUGAUUACAGAGAAGAUCAAGGCGAAGGGAAGAAACAAAGGACAGUCUGUACGUGUAUGUUAUGAAUGGUGUGUCUUCCUGUAGAGAUAUUGAACAUUACAGGCAAGGUUAUUGGCUCUUAGAGCUCCAGCUGUAAGUUUAUAGAUGGUUUUCUAUGUAUGUAAUAUAACUUUCAGGAGAAGUUAGGUUCUGUUUUAUAGCGAAUUAUAAACAUGUGCAUUUUGCGUGAUUUUUUUUUUUAGAAGGACCUUUAUAUUCAACAAUCAGCACGAUACUUUCAUACUAUGCUACAGGUAAUAAAACAGCUAAUGUUCACUCCUUAAGGUUAAUUUGUCACAUAAUACAUUAAAUCGCAGCAUUAUAAUACAACACAGACACUUCUUUUACUUUAUACAUGCUCUCUGCCUUUAUUUAAUCAUCAGCAGUGGAAAAAAAAAAUCAGAAAUGUUGGAGUCUUCGAUUUAAAGAAGUGUGGGUGAAAUGUGUUGGCUGCCAUUGCUGAACUUCUUCUCGGAAAUGCCAGUUUCUCAGUUACGAUGGUGACAUCAAAGCCUUCAAUGUAAUUAUACACUAUGCAUUGCCUAAUACUGAGACCUUCUGACUCUCUGCAGGAUAUAUUUUUUUCAAAAAGGUGCCAGUUUUCCAUCACUGAUUGUUUGCUAUUGGCAGCAUGAAUGUAGAGAUGUUUUCUAAAUUGUUUGAUUCUACAGUCCAGACCAGCACUGUCAUACUGCUUUUCCGACAACUUUAGAUCUUUAAAGGGGUUGUAAAGGUUUGUUUUUUAUUUUCUAAAUAGGUU